GAAACCGAAAAAGGCGUAAGUUACUUAGGACCCUUCAUCGCCACGGUGUUACAGGUGCUGGUCUGCAUGUUCCUGGGUGCAUAUUUAUUUUGUUUGGUUGGUAUGUUUCGGGUGUUGUUUCUCACAACAAACACGUCUGUAGAUCUUGGGUUUAUAGAUGGGUUACCAGAUGAGUUGCCAGCUGAUUGGACCGGGUUUCCUGCCGAGGUUGUUGACAAUCUCAAAGGUACUAGGUGUUAGGUUCCUGAUAAUUGUGCUUUCUCCUUUUCUUAUGAUGGCUGGCCUCUGAGUAUUGCAUUUUCUGUAGCGUCCUAUAAGGACAGGUCCUACCAUGGUCCUCCCGAGUAUCAAUGCCCGCAUUGUAAGGCCUCUUUUUGGUUUGAGGAGAGGGUCAAGUCGUCUUCUUCAUGGGUGCAACGUAAAAUCGUUUAUAAUCUUUGUUGCAAAGGUGGAAAAGUCGUUGUUAAACCCUUCAAGGAACCACCCGCUUUGUUGAAUCGCUUGUUAUCUUAUGAUGGUGAUCGUGUUUCCAAGCAAUUCCUGACUAAGAUACGACAAUACAAUUGCAUGUUUGCAUUUACAUCUAUGGGGGCGACCAUUGAUCGUUCGUUAGAGGGUACGCGGGGUCCUAACCUUUACAAGAUUUGUGGUCAGGUCCAUCAUCGUAUUGGUUCUCUUUUGCCAUUGAAAGAUGAGUCGCCUAAUUUGCUGAGAUGUAUAUUUAUGACACUGCUGAUGAAGUGGAUCAUAGGAUGAAUGCAGUCAAUGUAGAUGGUACUUCCUCAGGACAGUUAGAUCGUUCUAUUGUGGAGGGUUUAAAGGAUAUGCUUGACCAGAACAAUUCUUUGGUUAAGAAGUUUAGGAUGGCUAAAGAGAGGUUAGAGGAGCAUCUAGCUGAGCGUAUAGCUAUUAGGAUCACUGCGCCUGGUGAAGGUGAUGGUCCACAGUAUAACCUACCCACGGCUAAUGAGCUGGCGGCCCUGGUUGUUGGUGAUUUUACUUUAGACGCAUCUUCUCGAGAUAUCAUGAUACAUGAUAGGGUUGAAGGGCUGCAGCAAAUUAAUUAUUUGCAUCCAGCCUAUAUGCCAUUGCAGUAUCCACUGUUGUUCCCGUAUGGUGAGAGAGGUUUCCAAAUUGAUGUUCCAUAUAAAGGAUUGCGGGCCGGGGAAAAGACCAGGGGUAGAGUUACUAUGCAGGACUAUUACUGUUAUGCAUGUCAUUAUCGCCUGGAACAGCCAAAUCCUUACUUAUGUUAUGGGUCUUUGUCUUCACAAAUUGUUGUUGACUGUCGCGCUUGCAUUGAUGAGCAGCGACUUUGCUACAUACUUAGGCACCAGGAUGAUUUUCGAUCUGAGCAUAUGCAGGGUGUUAUAGAUGCAGUUGGCCAGGGUUAUGUCAAUGGCUGGUCUGUUGGGAAAAAAACUAUUUGCCCGUCGAGUCAUACUGGUGGGAAACAUUACUUUCAGGAGAACUUCCAAGAUGGUCUUGCAAUCUGUCGAGUGCAUGGUGCCCCUGAUAUUUUUACUACUUUUACAUGUAAUCCAAAGUGGCUUGAGAUCGCUGAGGCCUUACUGUUAGAACCUGGACAAAAGCCACGUGACAGGGCUGACAUUGUUGUUAGGGUCUUUAGCAUGAAACUUGAUGAAUAUCUAGAUGCGAUUAAGUCGGGGCGUGCCUACGGUCCUAUAAAGGCUGGUACUAUCUUUUGCCCUUUCAGUCGGUCUGCUCUCUGAGAUUUUCUGCUUAGUUCAUAUGUGUUUCUCUGUUUUUUUUGACCUGCUGUUGUUUUUGCUUUUCAGUUCUAUACAGCGUUGAGUUCCAGAAACGGGGACUGCCACAUGCUCAUAUCCUUGUUUGGUUGAAGGGAGAUCAUUCAAAG
rnacentral:lncRNA from 1 species